rnacentral:rRNA from 1 species
UACGAAGGGGGCGAGCGUUGUUCGGAAUCAUUGGGCGUAAAGGGCGCGUAGGCGGGUUUGUAAGUCGAUUGUGAAAUCCCUGGGCUUAACCCGGGAAUUGCAGUCGAAACUGCAAGUCUUGAGUUCUCGAGAGGAUGGUGGAAUUCCUGGAGUAGUAGUGAAAUACGUAGAUAUCAGGAGGAACACCGGAGGCGAAGGCGGCCAUCUGGCGAGACACUGACGCUAAGGCGCGAAAGCGUGGGGAGCAAACAGG